rnacentral:lncRNA from 1 species
AGGAAGAGAGAACAAUAAAAAGCGAAAAGAUUGAAAAAUGGGAAACAAGCACAUUAACCAUAUGGGAUUGUCCAAAUUCAUACCAAUAUCUUCACUAUUUGCAACAUCAUCACCGUCAAGUAGCCAUUUCCAUCCUCUUUCGAGAUUUCGUUUUCGUUUUUUUUCAUUAACAGUGCUAUUAUUCACAUCUCACAGGGUCAUUUUUUCAUUUCCUAUACCAAACCCUAAUCGCUUAUUGCAUUCUAUUUCUCAUGAAUUUAACUCAUCUCACAGGGUCUUUUGUUUUAUCACUGAAUAAUUUAAAUAAUUUUCCCUUUCUACUUAUCAUUCCAACUUCUACGUGUUCACCCCCA